GGACAAAUGACAGUCUAUCACACAGCAUGCUUUCAAAGAAAGAGGGGACCUAUUCCAGAACCGCAGCACUGGAGCGGCUUUUAACAACAUAAGCAAAAUAAGAAGCCAACAUCAGUUUUUUCCUCCCUUAUUUCUCCCCCUGUUGUUGAAUGAAUGGCAGCACAACAUUUGGGAGCUUUUUAAAGCCUUGGGAAUAUCGAUUCCACUGCCCACCAUCUGAGAGAGUGAUGGGAUAAUGGGAGCUUGCCAGAAGUGCCGCACACUCUCUGGCUGCUACCUGGCAUGAUUUCAUCUCCUUCCCUGGCCAACCUACCUCUAUGGUGCGGGUUGGCAUCUCUACAAAGUGGUUUUCAGAGGCUACCAAUACUGAAUGUUGGCUGAUGGGUGUGGAGUCUGGCAUGACUAGAAAAGAAGAGCAUGGGACUCAGAUUGGUGGUACCUGACACUGAAAUUGACUCUUGGAGGACAAAUAAAAGUAAGUCAGGCAAAAAAGGUUAUAAGGGCAAUCCACAGAGGUAAAGUAUGAUGUGUAGAAGGCAUGUUUUAUGUGACAUCACUGUUUCCUAAUUCCCUUCUUACUUCAUCCUUCUCAAUAUCUGCA
rnacentral:lncRNA from 1 species